UAAUACGGAGGGUGCGAGCGUUGUCCGGAAUCACUGGGCGUAAAGGGCGCGUAGGUGGCUUGUCAAGUGCGCGGUGAAAGCCCGGGGCUCAACCCCGGGUCGGCCGUGCAGACUGGGAAGCUUGAGCACUGUAGGGGCGGGUGGAAUUCCGGGUGUAGCGGUGGAAUGCGUAGAGAUCCGGAAGAACACCGGUGGCGAAGGCGGCCCGCUGGGCAGGAAGGCAGAGCAAUCUGCCGGCUGACACUGAGGCGCGACAGCGUGGGGAGCAAACAGGAUUAGAUACCCUGGUAGUCCACGCCGUAAACGAUGGGCACUAGGUGCUUGGGGGAGCGACCCUCCGAGUGCCGGCGCUAACGCAUUAAGUGCCCCGCCUGGGGAGUACGGCCGCAAGGCUG
rnacentral:rRNA from 1 species